GCACGGAGUUAGCCGUUGCUUAUUCCUGAGGUACCGUCACUGCCUGGGCUUUCCACUCCCAAGCUCAUUCUUCCCUCAGAAAAGGACUUUACGACCCGAAGGCCUUCGUCAUCCACGCGGCAUGGCUGCGUCAAGCUUUCGCUCAUUGCGCAAUAUUCCCUACUGCUGCCACCCGUAGGUGUCUGGACCGUGUCUCAGUUCCAGUGUGGCCGAUCAACCUCUCAGCUCGGCUACCCAUCGGAGCCUUGGUGGGCUGUUAUCCCGCCAACUAGCUAAUGGGGGGCGGACUCAUCUUUCGGCGAGGCAAAAGCCCCUUUCCUUACCAGGUCAUAUGGCCUAGCAAUCGUAUGCGGUAUUAGCGGCCGUUUCCAGCCGUUAUCCCCCACCGAAAGGCAGAUUAUCCGCCUGUUACUCACCCGUUCGCCGCUGACAGUAUUGCUACUGUCCGCUCGACUUGCAUGUAUGAAGCCUGCCGCCAGCGUUCGUU
rnacentral:rRNA from 1 species